rnacentral:rRNA from 1 species
UACGUAGGGGGCAAGCGUUAUCCGGAUUUACUGGGUGUAAAGGGAGCGUAGACGGCAGCGCAAGUCUGGAGUGAAAUGCCGGGGCCCAACCCCGGAACUGCUUUGGAAACUGUGCGGCUCGAGUGCGGGAGAGGUAGGCGGAAUUCCUAGUGUAGCGGUGAAAUGCGUAGAUAUUAGGAGGAACACCAGUGGCGAAGGCGGCUUACUGGACCGAAACUGACGUUGAGGCUCGAAAGCGUGGGGAGCAAACAGG